rnacentral:tRNA from 1 species
AAGGCUUUAUCUUAAUAAAAGUAUUUGAUUUGCAUUCAGAAGAUGAGGAUUAAUAAUCUUCAGGUCUUA